UACGUAGGGAGCAAGCGUUGUCCGGAAUCAUUGGGCGUAAAGCGCGCGUAGGUGGCCUCAUAAGUCCGCUGUGAAAGUCAAAGGCUCAACCUUUGAAAGCCGGUGGAUACUGUGGGGCUAGAGUACGGAAGAGGCGAGUGGAAUUCCUGGUGUAGCGGUGGAAUGCGCAGAUAUCAGGAGGAACACCAAUAGCGAAGGCAGCUCGCUGGGACGUUACUGACACUGAGGCGCGAAAGCGUGGGGGAGCGAACAGG
rnacentral:rRNA from 1 species